UUGAACUCUCGAAGCAUGCCUGGUACGUUGAAAUAAUAAUGCGUGCCAUCCACUAUCCGUUCAUUGAACUAAAUACAACUGGAACGCUACCUCCCAAAAUUUGAAGUCAUAAAAACUCAACUAGUCCCAAUCAUUCGUCUGAGGACAGAAAGAAAGUUCACGAGGAAACUAAGCUUAAAUACUUUACGUUAAAUACGCGUGAGUAUUUUUAGGUACUUCUUACCACAGGGAGGGAAGGUGCUCAAGAGGUUAAAUAUCACAAUGACGAAUUGUUAGACGAAGACGUCAACAAGCGAUGUCAGUUAUGACGCAAAUAUAUGACGCAAAAAUCACUGUUGAAAUCAUUAAUAAAACAGACAUUUCACUAAAGAAAA